UUUGCGGCCACAUCAGGUUGAAACGCCGGUUCCUGUACGAUCACCAAAGUUAAACAACGCCGAACCUGGUCAGCACCUAGAUGGGUGACCACUUGGAAAUACCAGGUGCUGUAAG
rnacentral:rRNA from 1 species